CGGCAGGCCUAACACAUGCAAGUCGAACGGUAACAGGAAGAAUCUUGCUUCUUUGCUGACGAGUGGCGGACGGGUGAGUAAUGUCUGGGAAACUGCCUGAUGGAGGGGGAUAACUACUGGAAACGGUAGCUAAUACCGCAUAACGUCGCAAGACCAAAGAGGGGGACCUUCGGGCCUCUUGCCAUCGGAUGUGCCCAGAUGGGAUUAGCUAGUAGGUGGGGUAACGGCUCACCUAGGCGACGAUCCCUAGCUGGUCUGAGAGGAUGACCAGCCACACUGGAACUGAGACACGGUCCAGACUCCUACGGGAGGCAGCAGUGGGGAAUAUUGCACAAUGGGCGCAAGCCUGAUGCAGCCAUGCCGCGUGUAUGAAGAAGGCCUUCGGGUUGUAAAGUACUUUCAGCGGGGAGGAAGGGAGUAAAGUUAAUACCUUUACUCAUUGACGUUACCCGCAGAAGAAGCACCGGCUAACUCCGUGCCAGCAGCCGCGGUAAUACGGAGGGUGCAAGCGUUAAUCGGAAUUACUGGGCGUAAAGCGCACGCAGGCGGUUUGUUAAGUCAGAUGUGAAAUCCCCGGGCUCAACCUGGGAACUGCAUCUGAUACUGGCAAGCUUGAGUCUCGUAGAGGGGGGUAGAAUUCCAGGUGUAGCGGUGAAAUGCGUAGAGAUCUGGAGGAAUACCGGUGGCGAAGGCGGCCCCCUGGACGAAGACUGACGCUCAGGUGCGAAAGCGUGGGGAGCAGACAGGAUUAGAUACCCUGGUAGUCCACGCCGUAAACGAUGUCGACUUGGAGGUUGUGCCCUUGAGGCGUGGCUUCCGGAGCUAACGCGUUAAGUCGACCGCCUGGGGAGUACGGCCGCAAGGUUAAAACUCAAAUGAAUUGACGGGGGCCCGCACAAGCGGUGGAGCAUGUGGUUUAAUUCGAUGCAACGCGAAGAACCUUACCUGGUCUUGACAUCCACAGAACUUUCCAGAGAUGGAUUGGUGCCUUCGGGAACUGUGAGACAGGUGCUGCAUGGCUGUCGUCAGCUCGUGUUGUGAAAUGUUGGGUUAAGUCCCGCAACGAGCGCAACCCUUAUCCUUUGUUGCCAGCGGUCCGGCCGGGAACUCAAAGGAGACUGCCAGUGAUAAACUGGAGGAAGGUGGGGAUGACGUCAAGUCAUCAUGGCCCUUACGACCAGGGCUACACACGUGCUACAAUGGCGCAUACAAAGAGAAGCGACCUCGCGAGAGCAAGCGGACCUCAUAAAGUGCGUCGUAGUCCGGAUUGGAGUCUGCAACUCGACUCCAUGAAGUCGGAAUCGCUAGUAAUCGUGGAUCAGAAUGCCACGGUGAAUACGUUCCCGGGCCUUGUACACACCGCCCGUCACACCAUGGGAGUGGGUUGCAAAAGAAGUAGGUAGCUUAACCUUCGGGAGGGCGCUUACCACUUUGUGAUUCAUGACUGGGGUG
rnacentral:rRNA from 1 species